UAGGGAAUAUUAGAAAUGGACGAAAGUCUGAUCUAGCAACACCGCGUGUGCGAAGAAGGCCUUCGGGUCGUAAAGCACUUUUUGGUAGGAAUAGGAAGGAAUGUACUUCCAUAAUAAGUCUCGGCUAACUACGUGCCAGCAGCCGCGGUAACACGUAGUAGGCAAACGUUAUCCGGAUUUACUGGUCGUAAAGCGAGUGUAGGUGGUACUGUAAGUAGGGCGUGAAAGCUCCUGGAUCAACUGGGAGAGGCAGUUCUAAACUA
rnacentral:rRNA from 1 species